AGUGAACGCUGGCGGUAGGCCUAACACAUGCAAGUCGAACGGCAGCACAGUAAGAGCUUGCUCUUACGGGUGGCGAGUGGCGGACGGGUGAGGAAUACAUCGGAAUCUACUUUUUCGUGGGGGAUAACGUAGGGAAACUUACGCUAAUACCGCAUACGACCUACGGGUGAAAGCAGGGGAUCUUCGGACCUUGCGGGAUUGAAUGAGCCGAUGUCGGAUUAGCUAGUUGGCGGGGUAAAGGCCCACCAAGGCGACGAUCCGUAGCUGGUCUGAGAGGAUGAUCAGCCACACUGGAACUGAGACACGGUCCAGACUCCUACGGGAGGCAGCGGUGGGGAAUAUUGGACAAUGGGCGCAAGCCUGAUCCAGCCAUACCGCGUGGGUGAAGAAGGCCUUCGGGUUGUAAAGCCCUUUUGUUGGGAAAGAAAAGCAGCAGGUUAAUACCCCGCUGUUCUGACGGUACCCAAAGAAUAAGCACCGGCUAACUUCGUG
rnacentral:rRNA from 1 species